rnacentral:rRNA from 1 species
AGGACGAACGCUGGCGGCGUGCCUAAUACAUGCAAGUCGAACGGAUCACCUUCGGGUGGUUAGUGGCGGACGGGUGAGUAACACGUGAGUGACCUGCCCUGGAGUGGGGAAUAACUCUGCGAAAGCAGAGCUAAUACCGCAUUCGCUUACUUCAUCAUCGGAGUAAGUAAAGCUUAAUGCGCUUCAGGAGGGGCUUGCGGCCGAUUAGCUAGUCGGUGGGGUAAUGGCCUACCGAGGCAACGAUCGGUAGCUGGUCUGAGAGGAUGACCAGCCACACUGGGACUGAGACACGGCCCAGACUCCUACGGGAGGCAGCAGUAAGGAAUAUUCCACAAUGGCCGCAAGGCUGAUGGAGCAACGCCGCGUGCGCGACGAAGCCCUUCGGGGUGUAAAGCGCUUUCCCGAGGGAUGAGAAUGGACAGUACCUGGGAAUAAGCCUCGGCUAACUACGCGCCAGCAGCCGCGGU